UACGAAGGGGGCUAGCGUUGCUCGGAAUUACUGGGCGUAAAGCGCGCGCAGGCGGCUAUCCAAGUCAGUGGUGAAAGCCCGGAGCUCAACUCCGGAACUGCCAUUGAAACUGUUUAGCUUGAGUAUGAGAGAGGUGAGUGGAAUUCCCAGUGUAGAGGUGAAAUUCGUAGAUAUUGGGAAGAACACCGGUGGCGAAGGCGGCUCACUGGCUCAUUACUGACGCUCAGGCGCGACAGCGUGGGGAUCAAACAGG
rnacentral:rRNA from 1 species